UGAAUGAAUUAACAUUUUCUAUUGAAACAAAUGUUCUCUAAAAAGUCGUUUUUGUUACUUUACUUUCAGCUGUUUUCAAGGAUUAUUCAGAUUUUUCGAAUUCAGGAAUUCACUUGAAGUAUUUAACAGAUCAUCCAGCUUCUUCCCAGCAUAAUUUUCCUAAUAAGUGGCAUUUUAACCUACUUUCUUCAGGAAAAGAGAAAUAACUUCAAGGAGAAAGAAAGUACACGGCCAUCCUGUGUUAGGUCAAUGAAGCAUGUGAGAUAAAGGCAGCUGGUGCCACAGGAGGGACAGCAUAGCAGGAAACAAAGCAGGCCUUGCAAGGACCAAGGGGAUGGACAGGCUGAGCACUGAACAGACAAGUGUGGGGCGUUCGUGAGAUGCAAGAAAAGAAGAAAUGGAGACGCUCAAGGGGCAGAAGGAGAGAGGACACUGCUCCCUGCAGCAUGGCUUUGAUGGCCACAGUUUAUGCUCUGUAUCUCAGGCUGGAGUGCACUGUCACGAACACCACUCACUGCAGCCUUGACCUCCCAAGCUGAAGCCAUCCUCCCACCUCAGCCUCCUGAGUAGCUGGGACCACAGGUGCACACCACCAUGAAUCACUGCCUGACUAAUUUAUUUUUAUUUCUAGUAGAAACAGGGUCUCCCUAUGUUGCCCAGACCAGUCCUCAACCUCCUGGGCUCAAGUAAUACUCCCAAAGUGCUGGGAUACUAACGUCAGCUAUAGUGCCUGUCCUUCUCUUUCCUUUUAAAGUUUAUUGUGUAUUCAAACGGUUUAUAAAGAUUAGAGUUUAAAGAAAAACUAGUUUUCAAUUUCUGACAUGGCAAAUAAAUAUUAAAGCAUGGACAACCCAUUUCCUAUCUGCAGGGCAGGGCAUCAGUGGUAGGCUGGACUCUGAACAGAGCUCCGUGUGUGUUCAAGGACAGCCAUCAUCUUACACAUUAGGUCAAAUUUGCUAUGUAGAUUCGGUAGUAAUCUGGGACAUGUAACUUCUGGGGUGAUGAAAAUGUUCAUUAUCUUCAUUAUGGCAAUCAUUUUAUGAAAAUACAAAUAUGGAUAUAUAUGAAUGGAUAGCCAUAUAUUUGUGGAUAUGGAUAUAUAUGUGUGUGUGAAAAUUUAUCAUA